AUUGUGGGAACAUUCAAUCGUUACAUAGCAGGAUGAAUCACGAGAUCAUGAGGAUCAUGAGCAUCUUGAGCUGGUGUUCAGUUUAAUGAAUUCGGUUAUUGACUUAUAUUUACUCUAUUAACUGCUUCUUUUAAAACAGUGUUGCAAUGGCUUCGUCUAUUUGAGACUCACACAAUCCACACAAUAGCCUCAAGAGUGAUUGAACAACGCCGUUCUCCGUGUUCGUUUGUAGAGAUUUUUCCUCUUCGUCUAUUGGCAGAAAUGAACGAGUUGUUUUAUUUAUCUAUUUAUUCAGAAUUCUAUCAUUUGAGACAUGUUUGUAGUAAAAAGUAUAGAAAUAUUUGAUACAAAUAGGGAUCGCUAUGAAAUAAAUACUAGACAAAAUAUGGAUAUACAUAUGAGCCAGUGAAAUUGACGACUAAGACAGCUUCGUACUUGGGACUUAUUCUUGCUGGUGUUGUGAAACAGACGACUGAGGCAGCUUCGUACUUGGGAAUUAUUCUUGCUGGUGUUGGAGUGACAGCAGUGAUAUGUUAUAAAGUGUUUUGUGAGUUGUUUUCCAGCAAAAAUUCAAACAGUGUAUAUACAACAUCUCUUAAGAAAUGCUGUGCAGAUCCACGAGUAAUAGACUCAUUAGGUGAACCUGUAAAAGCUUUUAGAGAUGAAAUACGACGAGCAAGUAUGCGUCGUGUCAGCCAUCUUUUUUACAAACGUGAUGGCAUCAAUUACCUAAGUAUGAAUUACUAUAUUCAAGGAAGCCGAAAAAGGGGCACAGUGCACUUGGAAAUGCGUGAGAAUGAUAAAGGAGAUUUUGAGUACAGGUACCUUUUUGUCCAAUUGGAAGAUUAUCCUAGAAACACAAUCAUAAUUGAAGAUAACAGAUAUGACUAACAAAUGAACUUCGAGAAGCCUUUUGAUAUAUUAUAGUGUGAUUUUUAUAUAGCUGCUGCAAAUGUUGUAAGUUGUAGUUUAAUAGAGAUACUGUGUUUAUCCAACUUUAAGACAAUACAAGUUGACCUUCCUUUUCAGAGGAAAGUAAUAAGGAAACUGUUUUAUUACUUGUCCAGAUAAACGUCCUAUGUCCAGUUCUUCAACAUAGAUGUAACUGUUUCUCCCGUCUUUUUAUAAUGGCAUGUUUAGGUUCGGAGAAUGCUUUUUGGCAACUAGUAAUUGCACUUUAUCUUCUGUCUAUACCCAAAAGCUGGUCCCAGAAACUAUAUCCUCUGUAUGCUACACAUAAUCCAUUAUAUGAGAGAUUGGAGGUUCUCAUGACUGUGCAGAUGAAGAUUAUAGUCAUCUGGGAUGUGACACCAUGUAGUCUGUAGCACAUCCACCAUCCAUGAUAUGUAUACAGUGGCC